ACUUUGCGGGAAUUUGCACAAACAAAAGAGCAGACCGGGUAUCCACUAAGAGAAGUUGGGAUGGCAACGUCGACGUCGACCGGCAAAACUGGCGGCAGCAGCAGCAGCAGAGAUGGGUCAGCGAAAACGAUGGUAGCUGAUCAAAUCACUCAGUCUAUACAGUCCACUUCCAAUCUCCUCCAUCUCAUGCUUCAGUCCUCCCCAUCUCAGGCCGAACUGAUGAAGCUACCAAAGACUCUUUUUGCUAAGACACCUACAAUCAAGAAUACAGAGCUGGUAUUGGAGCAGUUGCCUCAGGUGAUUUCAGCAUUGGAUGCUCAUAUGGAAAACGGGUUACAAAGUGUUCCUCAGCUGAAAACUGUAAUGCAGCUGCUCUCAAACAUGGAAAACUGCCAGCUGAAGACCUUAUCUAGGGCUCAAGCCACUCAGCAGCUUGUGCUGUAGGAGACCCUUACGACCUUCCUGGGAUUAUAGUUUUUCAGAUUUCUGGGAGUGAUUCUGUUUGAUAUGGAGAAUGAAUCAGUAAAGCAAUCUCCAGAAACCAGCUAACAUUUUUUGGGAUGAUGCAAUAAAACCCUGGAACACUGGUCAAGGUUAUAGUCAUUCUAUCCUGAUACUUAAAUACAGAUUUGGUUGAUAUCCUUCACCAGUUAGCAGUAGGACUCUUAAUUGCUUCCGCUCCAGCGAUCAUUUGCUUUUAACUUAGAGCUAUAAUUGUGUGUAUACUAUUUAUCCUAGAAUUGAACUGAAAUUUCGUUGCUUUAGUAUCUUGGCAAGUAGCAACUUUUAGUUUAUGACUGUAAGCACUAAUUUUUGCUCAUAUAAAAUUUUGGUAUUACAGAUGCUCAUGUAAGAAUAACUCUACUUUCUGAUCCAUCAAUAGUGUCUAUAGUUGUUGUCA